rnacentral:misc_RNA from 1 species
UCUUCGUUGGUGAACCUGCGGAGGGAUUAUUACUGAGUGAGGGCCUUCGGGCUCGACCUCCAACCCUUUGUGAACACAACUUGUUGCUUCGGGGGCGACCCUGCCGUUUCGACGGCGAGCGCCCCCGGAGGCCUUCAAACACUGCAUCUUUGCGUCGGAGUCUUAAAGAAAUUUAAACAAAACUUUCAACAACGGAUCUCUUGGUUCCAGCAUCGAUGAAGAACGCAGC